CGUUCGCAUAUUUAGAUGAUGUGAUAAUAGUAAGUAGCACGUUUGAUGAGCAUGUUAGUCUUCUUCUUCGCGUGUUAGACAAGCUGCGCCAUGCUAAUCUAACAAUUAAUUUAGAAAAGUGUGAAUU